GACUUGGGGUGGAUUAUUGUGUUCCAUAAACUCCAUUUUAAGGAAGACCUUUCCUUUUACAGGCUCUUCGUUAUUUCCACAUGGCAGAAGAAGCUGAUCCCAAUUUCUACAGCAAAAACUUGCUCUAUUUGGGAAAGACGUACCUGAAGUUGAACAACAAAAAGAUGGCUCUCCUGUGGCUAAGCAAAGCCAAGGAAUAUCCUGCACAUACAGAGGAGGACAAACAGGUACAGAAAGAAGCUCUGGAACUGCUUAAUUCUAUAUAACAAGAAACAAGACACUGGGAACUCAGUACCUCCAGUGUGACCAGCA